CCUACGGGGAGCUGCAGUGGGGAAUAUUGGACAAUGGGCGAAAGCCUGAUCCAGCCAUGCCGCGUGUGUGAAGAAGGCCUUCGGGUUGUAAAGCACUUUCAGUGGGGAAGAAAGCCUUGGGGCUAAUACCCUCGAGGAAGGACAUCACCCACAGAAGAAGCACCGGCUAACUCCGUGCCAGCAGCCGCGGUAAUACGGAGGGUGCGAGCGUUAAUCGGAAUUACUGGGCGUAAAGCGCGCGUAGGCGGUCUGAUAAGCCGGUUGUGAAAGCCCCGGGCUCAACCUGGGAACGGCAUCCGGAACUGUCAGGCUAGAGUGCAGGAGAGGAAGGUAGAAGUCCCGGUGUAGCGGUGAAAUGCGUAGAGAUCGGGAGGAAUACCAGUGGCGAAGGCGGCCUUCUGGACUGACACUGACGCUGAGGUGCGAAAGCGUGGGUAGCAAACAGGAUUAGAUACCCUGGUAGUC
rnacentral:rRNA from 1 species